AUUUAAUAUACCAAGAGAAGAAGGAGGAAGCUCAGGAAGACCUGAGGAGUAGAUACAGAUGUUGAAAGGAACCAGAACACUGAAGUCAGGAAAGCAGAUGGAGAAAGGGGAUUGAAGGAGCUGGUGCUUCAGAGAACACCCACAGUAUGUCUCCACAGUAACUUCCCUGGAGUGAUUGAUUUCUCCCCUAUCUUGGAAUCAAUGUUCCAGACUGAAUUAUGCUAAAAUAUGGGAUUUACCUUCAAGCAAAGUGAGUCACUGGUCCGGACAAGAACCAACUCUGCACUGCUUUUCAGACCCCAUUCUUCUCGACUGCAGGGACAAGUGGUUUCUAUUAUACUUCUGGCCUUUCAUACUCCCGAUGGUGCGGCUGAUGAAAUCCAGCAGCCAGGUGCAUGGAUGUGGUUGAAAAGACCCUCGCAGGACCUGAGCUGCCUCCCCACAGAGUGGGCUGUCUCCCUCCUGAGGUGGCCACUGCCAGUGGGACUGAUACCUGACUUAUUUCCCUGACUGAGAGGAUGGGUCAUAUGACCAAUUCAUACAUUUUUGUCCUGGUCUCUUUUUAACUAAUCACACAGUUUUCUGAUCUCUGGCCAAGGGCCAUGACCAAGGACAGAGUUUCCCUGUGUAGAUUUUUCUGCCACAGACAUUUGAAUUGGACUGUCGGAGUAGACUAAGUAUGGUAGCCAUUUUUCCCAUUAAGAUGGAAUUACCAAAACAUAAGCUUCAGGAAACACGUGGGAUGCUCUCAAGUCUGGUAACAUAUUCCCUGUCCUGUACCAGACAAGAAGCCCUGCAUCCCAUUUGCUCCUAACAGCCCCUUUCUUGGUUAUUCUGUUGAAUUUCCAGUUAGCCAGGUCUGAAAAACAGCCUCAAGAAGUUGAAGACAGUAGCAAUCCUUACAGAAACUUGUAAGUCCAAGGUAGAGGUAGAUGACUCAGAGGCAUUUUAUUUCACUUUAAGAAAAACCCAAGCUAGCAAAUAAUAAUGAUGAGAAUUUACUCCUAGGUAAAAAAAAAUAACUUGCAAUUUCAAAGUACUAUGUAGUAUAUCCCAGAUAUAAACCACCUCCAAUUCCCUUGUUUCAGUCAUUUUGGUGACAAUAUAGUUCUAUGUGAGCCUGUUUAGAAAACAAAAUAUAUAUUUGGUAAAUGAAAAGAUGGUUGGAAUUUUAGGAGCAGUGGUAUUCAUUCACAUAGAACACAGAGAGUGCAGAAAAUUAAACUUGUCACAUACCAUGAUCACAGUCAAAACUAGAAAGAUGAUAUCAGAAGGUCUUUUCAGCUCCCAGUUGUAUCCAAAAGUGACUGUUAAUUUUAGAUUAGUUCCCCUUAUUUCUAGUUUUAGAUUCUCCCCUCCCUCUUUGUUAGGCCCAGGAGAAGGUUUUCAAUAGGAGACAGUUAUGGACAGUGUUGUGAAAGUGAGUGUUCCAAAAAGGGAUUUGGGGGAAAGAGUGUUCCCAGAACACACAAAAGCUAUUACAGCAUGACAGCUAGCUGACCUACCACUAAGAUCUGCCAAAAGUUAUUUGUGUCAUGGAGAUCCUGGUCAGAAAUCUGGACUGGACUUGCCCAGUUCUUGCCUUAGCUGGGCCAUUGCCAAAAGCUUUAUUGUUUGGACCAUGCACACUCAUUCUCUUAGUCAGAUUUGUUUCUUCCUGUUUGACAGCUUUGAAGCUAAAAAUGGUGGUGCAGUCAGACCCAUUGAUAGAUGUUCCUCUUGGUUCCUACUCAGGGCUCUUAGAUAGACCCCAUGGUGGAGGACCUUGAUUGUAGCCCUGCCAUGGCCCCUCUCAGCUAGAAGCAGCCAAAUUGACUGAUGGCCCCUUAUCCCUACGGUAGUUAAGGACACCGCUGUUGAAGGGGAUCGAGACAAGGAGAUGAACAAACAUUAGCCAGCUAGGAUAGGGACCUGAGUAACCUAACAACAAAGUGCAUAUAUACCCUUGAACUUGGGUGCUCCUUGGUAUCCUCCCCUGGAGGCCCUCUCGGUUAAUGUGAGUUCUUCUUUGGUCUUUAAUAAAAUAUACAUGGUUCAUUCCCCACUGCUCUGUCUGUUGACUUCAUACUCAGGACAACAGCCCAGAGG
rnacentral:lncRNA from 1 species